CGGGACGGGUGAGUAAUGCUUGGGAAUCUGGCUUAUGGAGGGGGAUAACUACGGGAAACUGUAGCUAAUACCGCGUAAUAUCGAAAGAUUAAAGUGUGGGACCUUCGGGCCACAUGCCAUAGGAUGAGCCCAAGUGGGAUUGGGUAGUUGGUGAGGUAAAGGCUCACCAAGCCGACGAUCUCUAGCUGGUCUGAGAGGAUGACCAGCCACACUGGGACUGAGACACGGCCCAG
rnacentral:rRNA from 1 species